CCUGAGGGCAGUGCUUAGUAGCGGCGAGUGAGCGGCAAAAGCUCAAAUUUGAAAUCUGGCACUUUCAGUGUCCGAGUCUGUAAUUUGAAGAAGGUAUCUUUGGGUCUGGCUCUUGUCUAUGUUUCUUGGAACAGAACGUCACAUAGGGUGAGAAUCCCGUGCGAUGAGAUGUCCCAGACCUAUGUAAAGUUCCUUCGAAGAGUCGAGUUGUUUGGGAAUGCAGCUCUAAUUGGGUGGUAAAUUCCAUCUAAAGCUAAAUAUUGGCGAGAGACCGAUAGCGAACAAGUACCGUGAUGGAAAGAUGAAAAGAACUUUGAAAAGAGAGUGAAAAAGUACUUGAAAUUGUUGAAAGGGAAGGGCUUGAGAUCAAACUUGGUAUUUUGUAUGUUACUCUCUCGGGGGUGGCCUCUACUUUUUACCGGGCCAACAUCAGUUUGAACGGUAGGAUAACUGCAAAGAAAUAUGGCACUGCUUCAGUAGUCUGUUAUAGACUUUGUCGAUCCUGCCACCUUAUACAGAGGACUCCCGUCCUCCGCCGGCCCAUGUUGGCCUACUGAUCUGUUUUACCCCUCCCCUACAGAAAAAAAAAAAAAAA
rnacentral:rRNA from 1 species